rnacentral:snoRNA from 1 species
UCUUUUUAAAUGAUGAAGCCAUUUCGGAUGUAAAGUAGUCCAAAGGACUCGAAGUCCGAGAGCGCAAAAUCGUGUGGAUUUCUCCGUUGCCUUCCUUCUGAUCACCAUC